UAUCUUCUCUCUCCAUCCCAGGUCUCCCACUCUGAAGUUGAAUGCCUGCAUUUUAAGAUUCACAAGCAUUUUGAAGUUGGCUUCAUUCAGCCAGGAUCAGUCAAGGUGUACAGCUACUACAAUCUGGAUGAACAGUGUACCAAGUUCUACCAUCCAGAUAAAGGAACAGGUCUUCUCAAUAAGAUAUGUCAUGGUAACAUUUGCCGAUGUGCAGAAGAAUCCUGUUCCUUGCUCAACCAGCAGAAAAAGAUUGAUCUUCAGUUACGAAUUCAAAAAGCCUGCGCCCCAAAUGUGGAUUAUGGUAUUUAUA